rnacentral:rRNA from 1 species
GACGAACGCUGGCGGCGUGCUUAACACAUGCAAGUCGAACGGAAAGGCCCUGCUUUUGUGGGGUGCUCGAGUGGCGAACGGGUGAGUAACACGUGAGUAACCUGCCCUUGACUUUGGGAUAACUUCAGGAAACUGGGGCUAAUACCGGAUAGGAGCUCCUGCUGCAUGGUGGGGGUUGGAAAGUUUCGGCGGUUGGGGAUGGACUCGCGGCUUAUCAGCUUGUUGGUGGGGUAGUGGCUUACCAAGGCUUUGACGGGUAGCCGGCCUGAGAGGGUGACCGGCCAAAUUGGGACUGGGAUACGGCCCAGACUCCUAAGGGAGGCAGCAGGGGGGAAUAUUGCACAAUGGGCGGAAGCCUGAUGCAGCAACGCCGCGUGCGGGAUGACGGCCUUCGGGUUGUAAACCGCUUUCGCCUGUGACGAAGCGUGAGUGACGGUAAUGGGUAAAGAAGCACCGGCUAACUACGUG